CUCAACCCACUGAGCAAGGCCAGGAAGUGAACCUGCAACCUCAUGGUUCCUAGUUGGAUUCGUUAACCACUGUGCCACAACGGGAACUCCUUAGUUCCUAUUCUUAAUGAAAACAUUUUCUGCCUGAAUUUUUUAGUGUGGCAUUAUUAAACAAUGAAAACAUCUUUUCCAUACUUUUCAAAGUCUACCAGUUCCCUGUAUGUUUUGUUGGCUUGUACUAUAAGUGAACUCUUAAUAUUUUAGGAAAAAGUUUUAUGAUAGAUAAGUUCUUUUUAAAAUUUAGCUCCUAAUUUUUUUUAAAAUCAAAAUGAAAAAUUUCUUGCAUAAAGGGGGACUUUUAACUUUUACUUUGUUUUUCUUCCAUGUGGUAAAUCUUUUCCUUUACAAAGGAAGUGUGCUUACAGAAUUACUAAGGUGGUUUUUAGAAAGCAGUAAUCAUAGAAACCCCGUCCGUGCUUGCCCUACUCUGUCUCCCCAAAGCCCUUGGUCUGAAAGCCAGCCGUGGCUCUUGUCCUUAUGACAUGUGACUCGUGGAACAGGAUUGUGCUGUUCACUGGGACGCUGGCACGGUGCCCUAGCAGCCCCUGUGAUGCUGCCUCAACAUCAGGAAGCUGGCUGUGAGUUUUACACCGUAUUGUAUACUAUAUUGCAGUGUAUUUACUCUGUUGAUAACUUACAGAAUAUCUGUAGUAUUUCUGCAUAAUCUAUAAAAAUACUCACGACAUUAGAAAAUCUAGGGACUGUAAAUAUGAAAACAUGAAAAAAAGUUUUUUGGCACAAAAUCCCCUCCAAAAUAUGAAUAAUACUUGCACUGAGAGCCAUGAGAUUAAAUAUGCUUCAUUUUAUUAAAAAAUAGUUUGGGCUAGGCUAACUAGGUAUGGCGACUUGGUUAAUUUUAGUGCAAAAUAGGAAUGAUAUUUGCAUUAAGAGCCAUGAGAUUAAAUAUGCUUCAUUUUAUUUAAAAAUACUCUGGGCGAGGCUAACUAGGUACGGCAAUUUGGUUAAUUUUAGUGCAAAGUAUGAAUAAUACUUGCACUGAGAGCCAUGAGAUUAAAUAUGCUUCAUUUUAUUAAAAAAUACUUUGGGCUAGGCUAACUAGGUAUGGCGAUUUGGUUAAUUUUAGUGCUUUUUUUAUUUUUAUUAUUUUUGGCUGUGCCUGUGGCACACGGAAUUUCCUGGGGUCUAACCCGCACCUCAGCAGCAACCCAAGCCUCUGCAGUGACAACGCUGGAUCCCUGACCCGUUGUGCCACGAGAGAGCUCCCAGGUCCACCGCAGGUCCCCCAGCUCCGGUGGAGAACUCGCCCUGGGGCGGUGCCGGUGCCAUACUGGCCUCAGGGAGCUGCCACCCAGCCAGGACGCUCUUGCCGAGCUCUCCAUGUUCGUGGAGGGAUAGAACUGUUCAGCUAAACAUCCAACAGCUUUCAAGCUUUGAAGAUGAAAAGGACAGGCUGGAAACUUUCCAUGACAAGUUGCUGAGCCGGGAAGUGAAUCUGCAAUCCUUCCGGUGGCCUAAGGACCUCACGCUGGAGAGAAGUGCGUGGUUGGAAAAUCACAGCCCUGUAUUCCCCGGAUUGAGGCGGUCACCCAGCUGCUCGGUAGUUCUCAGUUAGCAGUGAGCGGUCCCACCGUGGACACCAGCUCUACUUCCUGGAGAAGCCAAGUGGAGAAGGCAGCUGAGAGGCUGGACAGUGCCUGCAUCAGCGGCACCUGGAAGGGAAAAGGUAGCCUUGGUUGGAAAACGGGCAGCUCAUGUGUCAGCGAACGACAAAGCUGAACAAUGAAAGGUCUCAUGUAGAAGAACUUGACUAUAAUACAAACUUACUAUAUUAAUGUUUUAUCUUCUCAGUGCAAACAGAAAAGUAAUCAUCCGCCCAUUUGUCAUGCUCAACAGAGCUGUAAGAGAGGUUAACGCAGACCAUUCAGCAUCAUCUAUGAAAGAAUUACAUUUCGCAAUAGUGAGUAAAAGGAAAAACCAUGAACAACAAAGGAUGGUAUUCUUCCCCACCAAUUAUUUCCAUGCUCAGUCUGCACUAAUAGUUACAAGCGGAGAAAAAAGGCAACGUUAAAAGCGCUUAUAAUUUAGGAUAUAAUAGAAUGGUUUCUUCUUGCGAAAUGCUGUUUUAAGUCUGUUUAUUCCAAAGUCGGGUCAGAAUGUCACCUGCAGGUUAUGAAAUGCAGCGGAAGCUAAUACUACACUACUUCUGAGCUACGAGGCAGGGCUAUUCACAGCUUCUUUUAACCCUGAACAUAUUCGAGUUUUUAAAAGUUAUUGAACCCGAGCAAAAAUUAGCCCGUUCACAGUUGAGCCAUUAAAAUAACAGCCACUUGUGCCCCCGCCCCGCCACCAGUUUGGCAUUAAACAAGUCCAUUAAAAACCACCUGUGGGCUAUGGGUGACAGAGGACCAAGGGUGAUGGUGAGUCAUGCUGCCUCCAGAUGGACCUGUUGAAAUGAAGCUCGAAAGCUCAAGGACUGGAUCACUUGGCUCCAAUGACUUUCCACCCAGCCCCAGGGCUCACAGUCAAUAGGCACUUAGGAAAACCCGGUGAGGCUGGAGGGCUGUGUUCCAGCGCUGGGACGUGUAAAAAGGACAGAGACCACUGCUGCUCUGUCAGUGCUGGUCAGUGACUGGUGUAGCACCCAACACAUGAUGAACCUGAUUAUUAUUAUAAUUAAUGCAGUUAUUAUCCCUUGCUGAAAAAGCACUUAUUUAGCUAAUGACUACUUCAAACAGCUUGCCAGUGUUUUCAAGGCACAUUCAGAUUCUUUUCCAUUAGAGGUUAUUCUAAAAUAUUGAAUGUGGGGAG